rfam:Stegodyphus mimosarum contig101382, whole genome shotgun sequence.
GCCUUCGGGGUGUAAUGGUCAGCAGACUGAGCCGGUAUUUCAGAGGUCCGUGGUUCGAUCCCCGGCGACGGUA